AGCUCCAAUAGCGUAUAUUAAAGUUGUUGCAGUUAAAAAGCUCGUAGUUGGAUUUGUGGUUGUUGCCUGCUCCCCGGCACUUAAUUGUGUUGUGGGUUUUGCUGGCGACUCCAUCUUUGGGCGGAAUUUGUGUGGCAUUUGGUUGUCGUGCAGGGGAUGCCCAUCGUUUACUGUGAAAAAAUUAGAGUGUUCAAAGCAGGCUUAUGCCGUUGAAUAUAUUAGCAUGGAAUAAUGAGAUAGGACCUUGGUACUAUUUUGUUGGUUUGCGCACCUUGGUAAUGAUUAAUAGGGGUAGUUGGGGGUAUUCGUAUUCCAUUGUCAGAGGUGAAAUUCUUGGAUUUUUGGAAGACGAACUAGUGCGAAAGCAUUUACCAAGGAUGUUUUCAUUAAUCAAGAACGA
rnacentral:rRNA from 1 species